rnacentral:rRNA from 1 species
ACUAAGCGUACACGGUGGAUGCCCUGGCAGUCAGAGGCGAUGAAGGACGUGCUAAUCUGCGAUAAGCGUCGGUAAGGUGAUAUGAACCGUUAUAACCGGCGAUUUCCGAAUGGGGAAACCCAGUGUGAUUCGUCACACUAUCAUUAACUGAAUCCAUAGGUUAAUGAGGCGAACCGGGGGAACUGAAACAUCUAAGUACCCCGAGGAAAAGAAAUCAACCGAGAUUCCCCCAGUAGCGGCGAGCGAACGGGGAGCAGCCCAGAGCCUGAAUCAGUGUGUGUGUUAGUGGAAGCGUCUGGAAAGGCGCGCGAUACAGGGUGACAGCCCCGUACACAAAAAUGCACAUACUGUGAGCUCGAUGAGUAGGGCGGGACACGUGGUAUCCUGUCUGAAUAUGGGGGGACCAUCCUCCAAGGCUAAAUACUCCUGACUGACCGAUAGUGAACCAGUACCGUGAGGGAAAGGCGAAAAGAACCCCGGCGAGGGGAGUGAAAAAGAACCUGAAACCGUGUACGUACAAGCAGUGGGAGCACGCUUAGGCGUGUGACUGCGUACCUUUUGUAUAAUGGGUCAGCGACUUAUAUUCUGUAGCAAGGUUAACCGAAUAGGGGAGCCGAAGGGAAACCGAGUCUUAACUGGGCGUUAAGUUGCAGGGUAUAGACCCGAAACCCGGUGAUCUAGCCAUGGGCAGGUUGAAGGUUGGGUAACACUAACUGGAGGACCGAACCGACUAAUGUUGAAAAAUUAGCGGAUGACUUGUGGCUGGGGGUGAAAGGCCAAUCAAACCGGGAGAUAGCUGGUUCUCCCCGAAAGCUAUUUAGGUAGCGCCUCGUGAAUUCAUCUCCGGGGGUAGAGCACUGUUUCGGCAAGGGGGUCAUCCCGACUUACCAACCCGAUGCAAACUGCGAAUACCGGAGAAUGUUAUCACGGGAGACACACGGCGGGUGCUAACGUCCGUCGUGAAGAGGGAAACAACCCAGACCGCCAGCUAAGGUCCCAAAGUCAUGGUUAAGUGGGAAACGAUGUGGGAAGGCCCAGACAGCCAGGAUGUUGGCUUAGAAGCAGCCAUCAUUUAAAGAAAGCGUAAUAGCUCACUGGUCGAGUCGGCCUGCGCGGAAGAUGUAACGGGGCUAAACCAUGCACCGAAGCUGCGGCAGCGACGCUGAUGCGUUGUUGGGUAGGGGAGCGUUCUGUAAGCCUGUGAAGGUGUGCUGUGAGGCAUGCUGGAGGUAUCAGAAGUGCGAAUGCUGACAUAAGUAACGAUAAAGCGGGUGAAAAGCCCGCUCGCCGGAAGACCAAGGGUUCCUGUCCAACGUUAAUCGGGGCAGGGUGAGUCGACCCCUAAGGCGAGGCCGAAAGGCGUAGUCGAUGGGAAACAGGUUAAUAUUCCUGUACUUGGUGUUACUGCGAAGGGGGGACGGAGAAGGCUAUGUUGGCCGGGCGACGGUUGUCCCGGUUUAAGCGUGUAGGCUGGUUUUCCAGGCAAAUCCGGAAAAUCAAGGCUGAGGCGUGAUGACGAGGCACUACGGUGCUGAAGCAACAAAUGCCCUGCUUCCAGGAAAAGCCUCUAAGCAUCAGGUAACAUCAAAUCGUACCCCAAACCGACACAGGUGGUCAGGUAGAGAAUACCAAGGCGCUUGAGAGAACUCGGGUGAAGGAACUAGGCAAAAUGGUGCCGUAACUUCGGGAGAAGGCACGCUGAUAUGUAGGUGAAGUCCCUCGCGGAUGGAGCUGAAAUCAGUCGAAGAUACCAGCUGGCUGCAACUGUUUAUUAAAAACACAGCACUGUGCAAACACGAAAGUGGACGUAUACGGUGUGACGCCUGCCCGGUGCCGGAAGGUUAAUUGAUGGGGUCAGCGCAAGCGAAGCUCUUGAUCGAAGCCCCGGUAAACGGCGGCCGUAACUAUAACGGUCCUAAGGUAGCGAAAUUCCUUGUCGGGUAAGUUCCGACCUGCACGAAUGGCGUAAUGAUGGCCAGGCUGUCUCCACCCGAGACUCAGUGAAAUUGAACUCGCUGUGAAGAUGCAGUGUACCCGCGGCAAGACGGAAAGACCCCGUGAACCUUUACUAUAGCUUGACACUGAACAUUGAGCCUUGAUGUGUAGGAUAGGUGGGAGGCUUUGAAGUGUGGACGCCAGUCUGCAUGGAGCCGGCCUUGAAAUACCACCCUUUAAUGUUUGAUGUUCUAACGUUGACCCGUGAUCCGGGUUGCGGACAGUGUCUGGUGGGUAGUUUGACUGGGGCGGUCUCCUCCUAAAGAGUAACGGAGGAGCACGAAGGUUGGCUAAUCCUGGUCGGACAUCAGGAGGUUAGUGCAAUGGCAUAAGCCAGCUUGACUGCGAGCGUGACGGCGCGAGCAGGUGCGAAAGCAGGUCAUAGUGAUCCGGUGGUUCUGAAUGGAAGGGCCAUCGCUCAACGGAUAAAAGGUACUCCGGGGAUAACAGGCUGAUACCGCCCAAGAGUUCAUAUCGACGGCGGUGUUUGGCACCUCGAUGUCGGCUCAUCACAUCCUGGGGCUGAAGUAGGUCCCAAGGGUAUGGCUGUUCGCCAUUUAAAGUGGUACGCGAGCUGGGUUUAGAACGUCGUGAGACAGUUCGGUCCCUAUCUGCCGUGGGCGCUGGAGAACUGAGGGGGGCUGCUCCUAGUACGAGAGGACCGGAGUGGACGCAUCACUGGUGUUCGGGUUGUCAUGCCAAUGGCACUGCCCGGUAGCUAAAUGCGGAAGAGAUAAGUGCUGAAAGCAUCUAAGCACGAAACUUGCCCCGAGAUGAGUUCUCCCUGACUCCUUGAGAGUCCUGAAGGAACGUUGAAGACGACGACGUUGAUAGGCCGGGUGUGUAAGCGCAGCGAUGCGUUGAGCUAACCGGUACUAAUGAACCGUGAGGCUUAACC